rnacentral:rRNA from 1 species
UUGGUACUUGUACCGACUGAAUGAGCAGCGAACGGGUGAGUAACGCGUGGGGAAUCUGGCCUUUGAGCGGGGGACAACAUUUGGAAACGAAUGCUAAUACCGCAUAAAACUUUAAACACAAGUUUUAAGUUUGAAAGAUGCAAAUUGCAUCACUCAAAGAUGAUCCCGCGUUGUAUUAGCUAGUUGGUGAGGUAAAGGCUCACCAGGGCGAUGAUACAUAGCCGACCUGAGAGGGUGAUCGGCCACAUUGGGACUGAGACACGGCCCAAACUCC